AAAAAUAGUCUCAGUUCAGAUUGCAGGCUGCAACUCGCCUGCAUGAAGUCGGAAUUGCUAGUAAUCGUAGGUCAGCAUACUACGGUGAAUACGUUCCCGGGCCUUGUACACACCGCCCGUCAAACCAUGAGAGUUGGCAACACCCGAAGUCGGUAGUCUAACCGCAAGGAGGACGCCGCCGAAGGUGGGGUCGAUGAUUAGGGUUAAGUCGUAACAAGGUAAC
rnacentral:rRNA from 1 species